GACGAACGCUGGCGGCGUGCCUAAUACAUGCAAGUUGAGCGAUGAAGAUUGGUGCUUGCACCAAUUUGAAGAGCAGCGAACGGGUGAGUAACGCGUGGGGAAUCUGCCUUUGAGCGGGGGGCAACAUUUGGAAACGAAUGCUAAUACCGCAUAACAACUUUAAACAUAAGUUUUAAGUUUGAAAGAUGCAAUUGCAUCACUCAAAGAUGAUCCCGCGUUGUAUUAGCUAGUUGGUGAGGUAAAGGCUCACCAAGGCGAUGAUACAUAGCCGACCUGAGAGGGUGAUCGGCCACAUUGGGACUGAGACACGGCCCAAACUCCUACGGGAGGCAGCAGUAGGGAAUCUUCGGCAAUGGACGAAAGUCUGACCGAGCAACGCCGCGUGAGUGAAGAAGGUUUUCGGAUCGUAAAACUCUGUUGGUAGAGAAGAACGUUGGUGAGAGUGGAAAGCUCAUCAAGUGACGGUAACUACCCAGAAAGGGACGGCUAACUACGUG
rnacentral:rRNA from 1 species